AUGUAUCUAAAUGCAGAGUUCCAAAGAAUAGAAAGGAGAGAAAAGAAAGCCUUCCUCAGCAAUCAGUGCAAAGAAAUAAAGGAAAACAACAGAAUGGGAAAGACUAGAGAUCUCUUCAAGAAAAUUAGAGAUACCAAGGGAACAUUUCACAAAAAGAUGGGCUCAAUAAAGGAUAGAAAUGGUAGGGACCUAACAGAAGCAGAAGAUAUUAAGAAGAGGUGGCAAGAAUGCACAGAAGAACUGUACAAAAAAGAUCUUCAUGACCCAGAUAAUCUCGAUGGUGUGAUCACUCAUCUAGAGCCAGACAUCUUAGAAUGUGAAAUCAAGUGGGCCUUAGAAAGCAUCACUAUGAACAAAGCUAGUGGAGGUGAUGGAAUUCCAGUGGAAUUAUUUCAAAUCCUGAAAGAUGAUGCUAUGAAAGUGCUGCACUCAAUAUGCCAGCAAAUUUGGAAAACUCAGCAGUGGCCACAGGACUGGAAAAGGUCAGUUUUCAUUCCAAUCCCAAAGAAAGACAAUGCCAAAGAUUGCUCAAACUACAACACAAUUGCACUCAUCUCACACGCUAGGAAAGUAAUGCUCAAAAUUCUGAAAGCCAGGCUUCAGCAAAACGUGAACCGUGAACUUCUAGAUGUUCAAGCUGGUUUUCGAAAAGGCAGAGAAACUAGAGAUCAAAUUGCAAACAUCCUCUGGAUCAUUGAAAAAGCAAGAGAGUUCCAGAAAAACAUCUAUUUCUGGUUUACUCACUACGCCAAAGCCUUUGACUGUGUGGAUCACAAUAAACUGUGGAAAAUUCUGAAACAGAUGGGAAUACCAGACCACCUGACCUGCCUCUUGAGAAACCUGUAUGCAGGUCAGGAAGCAACAGAUAGAACUGGACAUGGAACAACAGACUGGUUCCAAAUAGGAAAAGGAGUACGUCAAGGCUGUAUAUUGUCACCCUGCUUAUUUAACUUCUAUGCAGAGUACAUCAUGAGAAACGCUGGGCUGGAAGUAGCACAAGCUGGAAUCAAGAUUGCCGGGAGAAAUAUCAAUAACCUCAGAUACACAGAUGACACCAUCCUUAUGGCAGAAAGUGAAGAAGAACUAAAGAGCCUCUUGAUGAAAGCGAAAGAGAGUGAAAAUGUUGGCUUAAAGCUCAACAUUCAGAAAACUAAGAUCAUGGCAUCUGGUCCCAUCACUUCAUGGGAAAUAGAUGGGGAAACAGUGGAAACAGUGAUGAACUUUACUUUUGGGGGCUCCAAAAUCACUGAAGAUGUUGACUGCAGCCAUGAAAUUAAAAGACACUUACUCUUUGAAAGGAAAGUUAUGACCAGCCUAGAUGGCAUAUUAAAAAGCAGAGACAUUACUUUGCCAACAAAGGUCCGUCUAGUCAAGGCUAUGGUUUUUCCAGUGGUAAUGCAUGGAUGCAAGGUUUGGACUGUAAAGAAAGCUGAGUGCCCAAGAAUUGAUGCUUUUGAACUGCAGUGUUAG
rnacentral:lncRNA from 1 species